rnacentral:rRNA from 1 species
AUUGAACGCUGGCGGCGUGCCUAACACAUGCAAGUCGAGCGGUAACAGGCAAGGUAGCAAUACUUUGUGCUGACGAGCGGCGAACGGGUGAGUAAUGCUUUGGAAUCUUCCCAGUAGUGGGGAAUAACCAGUCGAAAGAUUGGCUAAUACCGCAUACGUCUGUAAAGGGAAAGCGGGGGCUCGUAAGACCUCGCGCUAUUGGAUGAGCCAAAGUCGGAUUAGCUAGUUGGUGGGGUAAUGGCCUACCAAGGCGACAAUCCGUAGCUGGUCUGAGAGGACGACCAGCCACACCGGAACUGAGACACGGUCCGGACUCCUACGGGAGGCAGCAGUGGGGAAUAUUGGACAAUGGGGGAAACCCUGAUCCAGCGACGCCGCGUGUGUGAAGAAGGCCUGCGGGUUGUAAAGCACUUUUAGUGGGGACAAAAAGCUACGGAUUAAUACUCUGUGGUCUUGAUUUAACCCAAAGAAAAAGCACCGGCUAACUCUGUGCCAGCAGCCGCGGUAAUACAGAGGGUGCGAGCGUUAAUCGGAAUUACUGGGCGUAAAGCGCGCGUAGACGGUUUUGUAAGUCAGAUGUGAAAUCCCUGGGCUCAACCUGGGAACUGCAUUUGAGACUGC